UAGUGGUUCGUGCUGGGCUGUAGUCUAGGAGUUAAUGGGUUUGAUAGCUCAGUGUUUAGAGAAAGUGGUGCCCUGCAGAGUGGAAGGCAAUGUGCAUGCUUGUGGAUCUGAGUAUUACUUUUUUAUUCAUUAGUCUUUUAGCAGUCGCUUUUCUCCAAAGUGCCUUCGAGACUAGGGGGUGUACUAUGCAUCAACAACUGCUGCUGCAGUCACUUACAAUAGGACUCCAGUUUUACGUUUUGACUUGCUCAGGGUCACACACAGUGAGUGAGUGGCUGAGCCGGGAUGUGAACCUCCUGGUAUCAAGCCCUUUUCUUUAACCACUGGGCCACUGUCCCUGAGUAGCUCAGGGGGUUGAGUUCUGGGCUACAGUGUGGAAGGCAGUGGGUUUAAGAAGCUCUGUGUUAAAAAUAGACUGUUACUAAUUAUCUUUUCUUUUUUUGUGUAGCUCAUCACUAUCACUACUAUUUCUACUACCAUCAUGGGUACCGCUGCGCUCGCCAUUGGCAUACCUACCGCUGCAGGCGAUGCCAGCACUACUGAGAAGCAGCAGCGCCCAGGGAUCACAGUGCUGGAGUUUACCUGACAGCAGACCUGCAAGCAAAGCUUAAACACACCAGCAUGGCUGUAACCUUUCUGUUGUGGUCCCUCUCCAAACACACAGCUACAGCACCCAUACUUAUUUCUAUCAGGCCAUUCCCAGUUUGUUUAAAACAGCUGCUCUCUGUUGUGCAUUUGGUCAAUCUCUUCAAGGAUAUAUAAUAUGGAAAGUAUGGAAAGGUGUCCUUAUUUAACAUGUAGUCUCAGAUUCUCAGUGAGAUCACAUGCUCACACAUGUUUGAAUAGAAAUACAACUCCACAUGGGCACAUAUACAAAGCGUUACUUGGAGAGCGUGCUUGAUUGAUUUGCCCCAGCUCAUAAUCACUGCACCGAGUCAGAUUUGACCAGUAGACUCCUUUCUUCUCCCAGCUCCUCACAGCCACCCUGUGAUGUCACAAGUGACCCGUGACAGGUCUUGUUCACAGACUGACAAAAACAUUGUGUUUAUAUAGAGAUUUUCUUCAUCUCUCAAUUAUUUUAAAAUAUCUUUAUUUGCGUUCAUGACAACAAAUGCUCAAACCGUUGACCAGUAUAAAUGCUGUCCUGCCGAAACAACACUAUCUGCUGUUACAUGAAACUGGGUAAAAGCCUGUCUCUUUCUGUAAAGCUUUUUAAGCAAUAAAACUAUUAGCAUCAA